UACGAAGGGUGCAAGCGUUACUCGGAAUUACUGGGCGUAAAGCGUGCGUAGGUGGUUGUUUAAGUCUGUCGUGAAAUCCCCGGGCUCAACCUGGGAAUGGCGAUGGAAACUGGGCAGCUAGAGUGUGUCAGAGGAUGGUGGAAUUCCCGGUGUAGCGGUGAAAUGCGUAGAGAUCGGGAGGAACAUCAGUGGCGAAGGCGGCCAUCUGGGACAACACUGACGCUGAAGCACGAAAGCGUGGGGAGCAAACAGG
rnacentral:rRNA from 1 species